rnacentral:rRNA from 1 species
AACAAGUGCGAGAGUAACUGCUCGCACCUUGACGGUACCUAACCAGAAAGCCACGGCUAACUACGUGCCAGCAGCCGCGGUAAUACGUAGGUGGCAAGCGUUGUCCGGAAUUAUUGGGCGUAAAGGGCUCGCAGGCGGUUUCUUAAGUCUGAUGUGAAAGCCCCCGGCUCAACCGGGGAGGGUCAUUGGAAACUGGGAAACUUGAGUGCAGAAGAGGAGAGUGGAAUUCCACGUGUAGCGGUGAAAUGCGUAGAGAUGUGGAGGAACACCAGUGGCGAAGGCGACUCUCUGGUCUGUAACUGACGCUGAGGAGCGAAAGCGUGGGGAGCGAACAGGAUUAGAUACCCUGGUAGUCCACGCCGUAAACGAUGAGUGCUAAGUGUUAGGGGGUUUCCGCCCCUUAGUGCUGCAGCUAACGCAUUAAGCACUCCGCCUGGGGAGUACGGUCGCAAGACUGAAACUCAAAGGAAUUGACGGGGGCCCGCACAAGCGGUGGAGCAUGUGGUUUAAUUCGAAGCAACGCGAAGAACCUUACCAGGUCUUGACAUCCUCUGACAACCCUAGAGAUAGGGCUUUCCCUUCGGGGACAGAGUGACAGGUGGUGCAUGGUUGUCGUCAGCUCGUGUCGUGAGAUGUUGGGUUAAGUCCCGCAACGAGCGCAACCCUUGAUCUUAGUUGCCAGCAUUUAGUUGGGCACUCUAAGGUGACUGCCGGUGACAAACCGGAGGAAGGUGGGGAUGACGUCAAAUCAUCAUGCCCCUUAUGACCUGGGCUACACACGUGCUACAAUGGACAGAACAAAGGGCUGCAAGACCGCAAGGUUUAGCCAAUCCCAUAAAUCUGUUCUCAGUUCGGAUCGCAGUCUGCAACUCGACUGCGUGAAGCUGGAAUCGCUAGUAAUCGCGGAUCAGCAUGCCGCGGUGAAUACGUUCCCGGGCCUUGUACACACCGCCCGUCACACCACGAGAGUUUGCAACACCCGAAGUCGGUGAGGUAACCUUUAUGGAG